UGCCAGCAGCCGCGGUAAUACGGAGGUGGCAAGCGUUACUCGGAAUUAUUGGGUGUAAAGGGCAAGUAGGCGGUCUUAUAAGCGAGGGGUGAAAUCUACCGGCUCAAUCGGUAAACUGCCUUUCGAACUAUUUGACUUGAGGCCGAAAGAGGGAAACGGAAUUAGCAGUGUAAGGGUGAAAUCUGUAGAUAUUGCUAAGAACACCAGCGGCGAAGGCGGUUUCCUGGUUCGGUUCUGACGCUAAAUUGCGAAAGCUAGGGUAGCAAACGGAAUUAGAUA
rnacentral:rRNA from 1 species